rnacentral:rRNA from 1 species
UAUCACUUAGCGGCGGACGGGUGAGUAAUGCUUAGGAAUCUGCCUAUUAGUGGGGGACAACAUUCCGAAAGGAAUGCUAAUACCGCAUACGUCCUACGGGAGAAAGCAGGGGACCUUCGGGCCUUGCGCUAAUAGAUGAGCCUAAGUCGGAUUAGCUAGUUGGUGGGGUAAAGGCCUACCAAGGCGACGAUCUGUAGCGGGUCUGAGAGGAUGAUCCGCCACACUGGGACUGAGACACGGCCCAGACUCCUACGGGAGGCAGCAGUGGGGAAUAUUGGACAAUGGGGGGAACCCUGAUCCAGCCAUGCCGCGUGUGUGAAGAAGGUCUUCGGAUUGUAAAGCACUUUAAGUUGGGAGGAAGGGCAUUAACCUAAUACGUUAGUGUUUUGACGUUACCGACAGAAUAAGCACCGGCUAACUCUGUGCCAGCAGCCGCGGUAAUACAGAGGGUGCAAGCGUUAAUCGGAAUUACUGGGCGUAAAGCGCGCGUAGGUGGUUUGUUAAGUUGGAUGUGAAAUCCCCGGGCUCAACCUGGGA